rnacentral:rRNA from 1 species
CUUAUACAAAGGUUGACCUCGGAUCAGGUAGGAAUACCCGC